rnacentral:rRNA from 1 species
CGAAAGCCUGACGGAGCAAGACCGCGUGAGGGAGGAAGGCUCUAGGGUUGUAAACCUCUUUUAUCAGGGAAGAAGCUCUGACGGUACCUGAGGAAUCAGCAUCGGCUAACUCCGUGCCAGCAGCCGCGGUAAUACGGAGGAUGCAAGCGUUAUCCGGAAUCAUUGGGCGUAAAGCGUCCGCAGGUGGGAGUUCAAGUCGAUUGUCAAAGGCAGUAGCUUAACUACUGAAAGGCAGUGGAAACUGAACAACUAGAGUGCGGUAGGGGUAGAGGGAAUUCCCGGUGUAGCGGUGAAAUGCGUAGAGAUCGGGAAGAACACCAGUGGCGAAAGCGCUCUGCUGGACCGGCACUGACACUGAGGGACGAAAGCUAGGGGAGCG